GGGAGAGCCAGCGCAAAUGGGUUUUAAAGCAGCAGUUCCAUUUGUGGGGAUGACAAUGGCAGAGUGUGCACAAGUUGGGAUAAUGAUAUCUAGCAAAGCAGCCAUGUCAAAUGGCAUGUCCAAUUUCGUCUCUCCAUUACUCUAACGCCUUGCUCCCCUCAUUCUUCUCCCUUCUUCUUUCUUCCUUCACAGGUUCUCUUCUUUUCAUUGCAUUCCAUGCACUAUUAUAUUACAUCAAAGUUUUGGUUCUCAUAUUCCUUACAAAAAUUAUUUUUUCAGAUCAGAGAGGCCUCCGCUCACCUUCCCUAUCGUCAUUGUAUUCUUCUUGCUUGGCCUAUCUGUUUGGCUGGCACAGAUAUUUGGGGAAGCUGGAAUUAACUUGAGCUCUUUGCUACACUUGGCACAGCCUUAUUCCUGGUCUUACUUUCAUACUUGCCGUUGGUUUCAGGUUAUUCUCCCCUCUUGAUCGUGUUAGAGCAUCCACACCUCUGCCCUCUAAAGAGAGUCCUUAGCUAUAAUAGCCAGCCAAUGUGUUUUUCUUACUUAGCAUUGUUACUGGUCAAAGGGCUCUCUAUUUUGACAAAGUGAACAGUGCUCUCGCUACACACAGCGAGCACUGUAGCAAUCCUUAUUGUUGGGAUACCGUGGCGGGGAAGAGUGAGGUUAAUGGUUCUUCUGGAUUGUCUGCUGGGAAUUCCCUAUCCCCAGGGUCAUGGCCCCUCUGUUCUCCAAACCCUUUAAAUGUUUGCUCACUGGCGCAGGUGUUGUCCCUGGGUGAAGGGGAAGAGCGAAGGAAGUGCAUUUGCAUAAACCCAGGAAGAAUGGCAAAGGGAGGAGGUGGCUCUUUUGAUGAGCUUAACUACCAAGGGAGUCCUUACAAAGAUGAAUGCUUCAAUUAUAGGCAUUAAAUAUUGGACCCAAACUCAAUGAGGGAUGUACCAAACUCGAAUGUUCCUCGAAAUGGCACAGAAGCUGGAGCCCGAUAUCAGAAUCAAAGAUCUAACACACCGAACGUUCAAUUGAUUGGAACAACAGUGGGUUCUGGAAACUCGUUUUGAUAGAAGAUUUCUGCUUGUUGGUAAAUUAAUUGCAUAGGUUGAGUGAUUCAGAAGGAUUAUUCCUCUUGUUGUUGCAUAGUGCCAAUCAUUCCUUUGUAACAAUCAAACUGUGCAUAUUCAUUCACUUCACUUCUCAUUGUUCUAUGCAGUUAUCAAUUUGCAAUUACAGAAGCUGCUAAUGGGAAGUCUUUUUAAAAAGAGAGCUCAGUUUAAAGUAUAA